rnacentral:rRNA from 1 species
GGUGAUCUGCCCCUGCACUUCGGGAUAAAGCCUGGGAAACUGGGUCUAAUACCGGAUAGGACCACUUCUUGGAGGUUGUGGUGAAAAGUUUUUCGGUGUGGGAUGAGCUCGCGGCCUAUCAGCUUGUUGGUGGGGUAAUGGCCUACCAAAGGCGUCGACGGGUAGCCGGCCUGAGAGGGUGUACGGCCACAUUGGGACUGAGAUACGGCCCAGACUCCUACGGGAGGCAGCAGUGGGGAAUAUUGCACAAUGGGCGCAAGCCUGAUGCAGCGACGCCGCGUGUGGGAUGACGGCCUUCGGGUUGUAAACUCCUUUCGCCAAGGACGAAGCUUUAAGUGACGGUACUUGGAGAAGAAGCACCGGCUAACUACGUGCCAGCAGCCGCGGUAAUACGUAGGGUGCGAGCGUUGUCCGGAAUUACUGGGCGUAAAGAGCUCGUAGGUGGUUUGUCGCGUCGUUUGUGUAAGUCCGUAGCUUAACUGCGGGACUGCAGGCGAUACGGGCAUAACUUGAGUGCUGUAGGGGAGACUGGAAUUCCUGGUGUAGCGGUGGAAUGCGCAGAUAUCAGGAGGAACACCGAUGGCGAAGGCAGGUCUCUGGGCAGUAACUGACGCUGAGGAGCGAAAGCAUGGGGAGCGAACAGGAUUAGAUACCCUGGUAGUCCAUGCCAUAAACGGUGGGCGCUAGGUGUGAGUCCCUUCCACGGGGUUCGUGCCGUAGCUAACGCAUUAAGCGCCCCGCCUGGGGAGUACGGCCGCAAGGCUAAAACUCAAAUGAAUUGACGGGGACCAGAGAGUUUGAUUCUGGCUCAGAAACUCAAAUGAAUUGACGGGG